AAAAAAAAAAACAAAAACAAAACAAAAAACCCUCAAAACAUCUCUCUCACCCUCACAACGACAGCCCUCAACGCCUCACCUCACCACACCGCCGCUACGCCUCACCAGACCUCCGCCGUCGACAUCGCCUCCCGGCCUCAUCCUCCCACGACGCCGCUGACACCGCGACUCCCUCAGCCUCGAUCAAACGUCGCCGCCGACACCAAGCUAAGGACUCUAACGAGAUCUGGAAAAAAUAAAAAAACACUCAAACCAGAUCUACCACGACUACGCCUCACACCUCAACCCUAACACCUCUCCUCACCUCAAAGCACUCAAACCAGAUCGCUGGAAAUUGCAACCUAGAGAGAAAAGUCAUGGAAAAAUUGAAAACUAAGUACAAAGGACUUCUACUUGCUGAGCUGAAGGCCGUACCUAGGGAGGUAAUGGAGGAGAACAUCUCGAAGAAUUCUGAGGACACAAAAAAGCCACUGGGAAUUUCAGUGGUGGUAAUGGAAAACUAUCCAACAGAGCAAUCGAAGGAGAAGAAAAGAUGGAGGACAAUCCUCCGAAGCAAUUGAGAGAGAAGGUCUCAGCGAGAGUUGAGACCUGUGGAAUUCUGAAAGCUGGAGUUGAGAGGGAAGCUUAUGUCCCUCAGAAAAAAGGAGAAGCCAGCUGAUGGUGGAGGGAAGCCAGAGGUGACAUUGGAAGCUACAGGCAAAGGAGAGCACAAGGGGAAAGAGGGCUCUCAUACAUUUAGAGGUGUCUACAAACCAGGCUUUGACUCAACAAAUUCCUCAGUUUGGUUUUCCUUCGAAGAUACUUUGUCGAGUUGUGAAUCUUCAAUUAUUGGCAGAAGCAGAGAAUGAUGAAGUCUAUGCACAGAUCACUUUACUCCCACAGGCAGAUGUAACAAAUUACUCAAUCCAUUUUGUUUUUAUUGCAAAUCGAGCCCAGCAGUCCUGAUGAAUGCAUCGUGCUGGAUCCACCUAAGCGGAUUGUUCACUCAUUUUGUAAGAUUCUAACGGCAUCAGAUACAAGUACUAUGGAGGGUUUUCUGUUCUCCGCAAGCAUGCCAAUGAAUGCCUUCCCCCCUUGGUAAUUUUUAAUAGUUACGUUUUCCUUUGUUUUAUGUUCCGCAAUUAUUAUUUGUU